CUGCUUCCGGUUUAAGACGGAGCCCAAAGUCCUUGUGAGUUUUCCCAGCCAGAGAGAUUUGGGCUUCCUAGUUUUGAACAGCAAUAUCGUCACGCCAGAUGUAACUCCCUUCUGGCAAAUGGGACGGCUAAUUGAUGAGCUCAGGACGGGAGGCCUCCUGCAGGAGACAGCGCAAAGAAAAGGAAAAUGCGCACGGCACACAGACAGUUAAGCCGGUGGGGAGGCCGCUCUCUGGCACCGAUGAUGGAAAACCUCGGCUGAAAAGAGAGACCCCCCUGCAGCAGUUUGAAGGCAAAGAGUAGCUGCUUGCUGCUUUUUAUUUUUAACUAUGAAGGAUCAAUUAGAGCCGUCAGAUCGUGUCGCCAGAGGUUCUGAUGUGAGCCUGCUGACUCAGGAGGAGAGUCAGACAGCACUCCCUCCCGGGGCCGCAAGACUUCUCCUUAAUUGGUUUGAAAAAUUGUGCUGGACGCCAGCAGCUGCUGCUCGGGCGGUCAGGAGCCAGGAGGGACAGGAAGGAUGACAGCCCAGCCUCUCGCCUUCCGAAGCCCCUCGCGUUUGUCCUUCUGCUCCUGAACCGCUCCUGCGUUCCUCGGGCGCCCUGACUGCACUGCCCGACGCUCCAGGCAUCUUGGGGGAGCAGGGCCCUGCGGGGACACUCACAGAUAAAAAUCUUAUUCAAACAAAAACUAACUGAAAUGCAUCCUACAGUGCCCUGCCCACUGGGCUUCAUGUCCUCCAUCCCCAGCUGACUCCUCUCCCAGGGCCCGGGGCUCCCCAGAGCACAGCUCGGAAAUCACCAGGCUGGACGUGCUGGAGGCCCCGUUAGGCUCUGACAGUCUGGGUCCUGUGGCGUGGGGAUUUCAGGAACGGCCCCAGGAGAGAAGAGAGCCCGCAGCAGGGCAGCCUGGUCCCUGCAGGUUGUCUCAGCAGCGGCAGAGGGCUGGGGGACAAGGAAGAUGCAGAUAGUGCUACCACCAACGGCAGCUGCUCAGGCUGCGGUGGCCCCGCGGCCUCACUUCCCUAAGAGCAGCUGGAGAGAACAGAGGGAUGGUCCCAACACCCGGCCCCCCUGGGAGGUGAGGUGCAAGAGGAAGCCACGUUCAGGUCUUUGCAUUUUUUUUUUUCAAUGCCAUAGAAAGUUAUUGGAAGGUUUUAAAUACAGCAUGAUCUGAUUGACACACUCAGAAGAUUUACAUGUUUAAAUGACUCCAGCAUUAAGUUGGAGAGUGGAUUGACAGGAUAAGCCUGGAAAGUUCAUUCACUAGUCUUACUGAGAGAUGAUGCGAUGUCUAACAGAACCGAAACCUUAUGUCCACACAAAAACGGGUACAGGAAUGUUCAUAGCAGCACUAUUCAUAAUAGCCCCGAAGUGGAGAGAACUCUAUUGUCCAUCAGCUGAAGAAAGGAUAAAUAAAUGUAGGAUAUCCAUACAGUGGGAUAUCAUUUGGCCGUAAAGGAAUAAAGUACUGGUACUGGUAUGCACUGCAAGAUGGAUGAACCUUGAAAACAUCAUGCUAAGUGAAAGAAGCCACUCACAAGAGACCACAGAUUAUAUGAUCCCAUUAUAUGAAAUGUCCAGAAGAGGCACGUCGACAGAGAUAGAAAGGAACUGGUCAUCAGGGAUAGGUGAGGAGGGUGAGUGGGGAGUGACGGCUAAUGGGUAUGGGG
ensembl:lncRNA